AAAAAAAGAAAAGUAUAAGAAGGAAAGAAGAAAGGAAAGAAAAGUGGAAGAAGUAAAGAAGAAGGAAAGAAGAAAAGAAAGAAGAGUGAAGAAAGAAAAGAAGAGUGGAAGAAGGAAAGAAGAAAAAAAAAGAAAAGUGAAAGAAGGAAAGAAGAGUGAAAGAAGGAAAAAAGAGUGGAAGAAGGAAAGAAAGAAGAGUGAAAGAAGGAAAGAAGAGUGGAAGAAGGAAAGAAGAAAAGAAAGAAGAAGGAAAGAAGAGUGGAAGAAGGAAAGAAGAAAGGAAAGAAGAGUGGAAGAAGGAAAGAAGAGUGGAAGAAGAGUGAAGAAAGAAAAGAAGAGUAGAAGAAGGAAAGAAGAAAGGAAAGAAGAGUGAAGAAAGGAAAGAAGAGUUGAAGAAGGAAGGAAGAGUGGAAGAAGGAAAGAAGAAAAGAAAGAAGAGUGAAGAAAGGAAAGAAGAGUAGAAGAAGGAAAGAAGAGACAGAAGAAAAGUGAAAGAAGGAAAGAAGAGUGGAAGAGAAUUUAACUACAAUUCAAUAGACAACAUUGCAGAACUAUGCCAGUGUACAGGAUUUUUUUUUGUUUUUUUUUGUUGAUGUAAGACAUUUAGUGUCGGGUGAUUGCAGGAAGAUAGGUGUCAUUCUUCAGGUGGAGGGUCUCUGUAUGCUGUGGUCAGUCAAAAUGUAUUGGGUCUUGAUGUGUUAAAUUCUGUAGACCUGCGAAAAUAUUAAAAAAAAUUGCAAAGCAUAUACUUGUUUUAAAAACCUGCUAACUAACACCAUUCAAAGCAAGACCUGUUUAGUUGAAAGCCCACUCACCACGUCAAGGUACAGGUCAUGGGUGGGGUGUUAGUGAGACAGGACAAGACAGAAGACAAGGUUAAUGAAAAAGCAAAGCAUGCUUACAGACUUUUAUUUGACAAAUGUGUAUGUAUGUGACAAAGACAUGUGACAAAGACAUACAAACUUCACAGGGACAUACUUAGAACAUGGCAUACAUAGAACAUAAUUUUGAAGGGGAAAAUGGAUAGAGA
ensembl:lncRNA